AUGGCCGGAGCCGGGGAAGACGAAGCAGCUCCUCCUUCCCCUUCUCCAGAUCGACAGCAGCCCAUGGAAGAGGCGGCGGCGGCCAAGCGGAGCAGGUCGAAGAACCACCACGGCCUCGCCGACGGUCCGUCCUUCCGGAUGGAGGACCUUCCGGCGGAGGUUCAGCCGGUUAUAAUCUCACUGCUGCCACUGAAAGAGGCCGUGAGGACAAGCAUGGUUUCAAGAAGUUGGACAACGCUCUGGAGAUUCCACGGCGACCUAUGUUUCAAUGAACCCGUUGAUGUGGAUUCUAACACCGAUGACAAUCCCGCUGAUCAGGUUAAUGGCACUGGCACCAAUGACCAAUCCACUAAUCAGUGUGGUACCAAAAUAACACGAGCAAAGUUCAUUGAGACUGUAAAUUCGGUUAUUCAACAGCAUAGUGGGAUAGGAAUCAAUAAGUUCAGUAUCAGCUGUGACCUGCACAAAGAGGACUCUCAUCAUCUUGACAGGUGGAUUCGGUUUGCCGCUUCAUCAAAGGCAAAAAUAAUAGAUUUUGAUCUUAAGCUAUUUGAUUACCCAGUUGAAGAAGCUCCCCACUUUCCUCUUGAGGCCUUAGAUGCUCAAGGUAGCUCAUUUGUGCAGUCCUUGUCUCUCGCCGGUGCUUCUAUAAAGCCAAGCUCAGGAAUAUGCCGCUUUACAGUACUCAGAAGGCUUGUUUUAAACUCUGUUCAGAUAUUUGGAGAUUUUCCAGGCUUGCUUGCAAAAUGUUCAAGACUUGAGGACUUAGAGAUCAUCAGGUGUUCUGGUGUGGAUGACUUAAUCGUACCACACAAACUCGAUAAACUUCAAAAAUUGCUGAUUGCUAGAACAGACGUCCAGAUGGUUGUGAUUCAUGCAGCUGAUCUUGCUCAUUUUGAGUACGAAGGACGACUAAUCCCUAUAGUGCUUCAUGGUUGCUCAAAAUUAGAGAAGGCGACAAUUGCGUUUGAUACCACUAAUCCUUCUGCACUGGCCCAUGCAUUCAAUGUAAUUCCAAGCAUUUCCCCAGUGAAGAUAUUAAUUGUGCGAGCUAUUAUAUCAACAUAUGCACAGUCCCUGGAGCUGCCAUUAAGACCACAGGGCAUGUUUAUGCAUCUGAGGCAUAUGACUUGUCAAAUUGUUGUCUAUUGUCGAGAGUUAAAUGAAGAUAAUGGACUUCUUCAACUGGCCCAUUGGUUGGACACUGCACCCCAACUGGAGACAUUGGACUUGCAUAUGCUCUAUCUGAGUUCCGGUGCUUUCUUCAGUGCCGAGGUGGCGGGGGCGGAAGGUCCCUGUAUGUGUCGCCAUGAUCAUCUUAAGACGGUCUUCAUGGGUGGGUUUCAGUGUUACAAGUCUCAGAUUGAGCUGGCGUGCUCUAUCUUGGGAAAUGCUUCUGUUCUUGAGCAGCUGACAAUAGAACCAAGGCUCACAGAAGCACCUUGGGGUGAGGAUGAUUACGGGCAGAAUAGAGACAUUGAAAGCAGAAUUUUACCGGGGGUCUGUGAAUGGGCACAGCGAACCUCGAAGCGCUUUGGUAAGGUGAUCACUGUCUUAGAUGCCCCCCUUAACAGUGAGUAA
rnacentral:rRNA from 1 species